rnacentral:rRNA from 1 species
CACGUAGGGCGCAAGCGUUGUCCGGAAUUAUUGGGCGUAAAGAGCUCGUAGGCGGUCUGUUACGUCUGCUGUGAAAACCCAGGGCUUAACCCUGGGCUUGCAGUGGAUACGGGCAGGCUAGAAUUCGGUAGGGGAGACUGGAAUUCCUGGUGUAGCGGUGAAAUGCGCAGAUAUCAGGAGGAACACCGGUGGCGAAGGCGGGUCUCUGGGCCGAUAUUGACGCUGAGGAGCGAAAGCGUGGGGAGCGAACAGG